rnacentral:rRNA from 1 species
AACGAACGCUGGCGGCAUGCCUAACACAUGCAAGUCGAACGAGACCUUCGGGCCUAGUGGCGCACGGGGGCGUGACGCGGGGGAACCUGCCCUUAGGUUCGGAAUAACUCCCCGGAAGGGGUGCUAAUACCGGAUAAUGUCUUCGGACCUAAGAUUUAUCGCCUUUGGUUGUGGCCGCGUUGUAUUGGCUAGUUGGGAGGGUAAAAGCCUACCACGGCGACGAGCCGUAACUGGUCUGUGAGGAUGAUCAGCCACACUGGGACUGGGCCACGGCCCCGACUCCUACGAGAGGCAGCGGUGGGUAAUAUUGGACAGUGAGCCUGAGCCUGAUCCACCGCUGGCGCGUUAGUGGUCUUCGCGUUAGGGUCGUAAAGCGCUUUUAACCAAGAUGUUAAUGACGGUACCUAGAGAAUAAGCUCCGGCUAACUCCGUG